rnacentral:snoRNA from 1 species
UUGAAACAUCCCUGUCCCGACCAGCCCCCUCUCCCUGUGGGGGCCUGGUGUGCAGUGGCUGCAGACAGCAGCCUCCUUGGUAGUGUAUGUGACCUGUUGCCUGUACAGGUUGUCCUAAGGGACCUUGGAGACAGCC